UACGUAGGGGGCAAGCGUUGUCCGGAAUCAUUGGGCGUAAAGCGCGCGUAGGCGGCCCGAUAAGUCUGCUGUGAAAGUCCAGGGCUCAACCCUGGAAUGCCGGUGGAUACUGUCGGGCUAGAGUUCGGAAGAGGCAAGUGGAAUUCCUGGUGUAGCGGUGGAAUGCGCAGAUAUCAGGAGGAACACCUAUAGCGAAGGCAGCUUGCUGGGACGACACUGACGCUAAGGCGCGAAAGCGUGGGGAGCGAACAGGA
rnacentral:rRNA from 1 species